rnacentral:misc_RNA from 1 species
GCACGAUACUCAAAAUUCAGAGCUUGACUAAUAGGUUUGUGGCCAUCUAAGCUCACAUAUAAAUGUACUAGUCCCGGUGAAUGUGGUGGUACCAGACAGCGAAAAACUCCAGGUUGAACAAAAUCAACAUUAACACUAGUAUCACCGCAUACAACCAAUAUACUGGACUUUGCAAGAUGUACGUAGUCAUUGUGAAAAUAUCCAAUAAUUAGAAUCUUUGUUUUUU